rnacentral:lncRNA from 1 species
GAGAGGAAAUGAAGAUUUGUUGGUUUAAAAUGAGAAAAAAAGUGGUUGAAAAUUGAAUUCUAGAGCUUUAAGAGCUCAAAAAUGGUGGUUUAUGAUGGUUGGAAAAAUUGAUGAUAAUGGUGUUAUUGUAAAUAAAAAGAAAUGGUGUGGGUGUAUUUGGUUUUUCAGUGAAUUUCGAAAUUAAUAAAAAAAUAAAUAAUAAUGGCAAUUUUGUAAAUAAUUCAAAAACAUAGGGAUAAUAUAAAAAAUUCAUUGAUGAAUAGUAAUGACAAAAAAAGGUUGGUUUUGAGUUUGACUUGAAAAGAUGAGUUAGUUUUGAAAAACUCCUGUUUAUUAUCUACUACUAUAAACAAAAUUUAUUAAUUAGUUUUUCUUCUUAAUUUCCUUUAAACAAUCAUAAUUAAAAUUUUGAAAUAACACUGUCACAAAUAUUUUUUUCAUUUUUAUUAUCUUUGUUUUAAUUUUACAACUCACAACUAUGUAUCUAUAAUGUUAAGAUAUUGAUUUUUAUAAUUAUUUUCAUUUGAUGUAUUUUAAUUUUAUUUCAUGAUUAUGUCUACUGGAAAUAUUAAUA